UACGUAGGGGGCAAGCGUUGUUCGGAAUGACUGGGCGUAAAGGGUGCGUAGGCGGUGUAGCAAGUUAGAAGUGAAAUACCUAGAGCUUAACUCAGGUGCUGCUUCUAAAACUGCUAUACUUGAGUGCAGUAGAGGAAAGUGGAAUUCCUAGUGUAGCGGUGGAAUGCGUAGAGAUUAGGAAGAACACCAGUGGCGAAGGCGAUUCUCUGGACUGUAACUGACGCUGAGGCUCGAAAGCGUGGGGAGCAAACAGG
rnacentral:rRNA from 1 species